ACAAGCAGCGCUGUUCUUUCGUUCCAGCAGAAUCCCUAAUUCCUGCACCCAGAUUGCAUUUCAAAUUUCAUUACAAUCAGCUGGCAUAAGAUAUGGCAUCUUUAAACACUUUGGAAACCAUGAACAGCAAUGGAAAAAAUUCCCAUAAUCCCAAUCACGAGUCAACAAACAUAAAUGAGGAGAAGCAGUCAUAUUCCGCACCGAAAGUUUCUCAAUCUAAUGGCGACGUUAAUGAAACGGUUAUAGCAAGUGAUGACGAAUACGCUAUUGAUGCUGACCCAAUCUCAUAUAGCACACCAUCCAUGC